UACGGAGGGUGCAAGCGUUACCCGGAAUCACUGGGCGUAAAGGGCGUGUAGGCGGCCUACCAAGUCUGGUUUUAAAGCCUGCGGCUCAACCGCAGAGAUGGACUGGAGACUGGUAGGCUAGACCUCUGGAGAGAGAACUGGAAUUCCUGGUGGUAGCGGUGGAAUGCGUAGAUACCAGGAGGAACACCGAUGGCGAAGGCAGGUUCUUGGACAGAAGGUGACGCUGAGGCGCGAAAGUGUGGG
rnacentral:rRNA from 1 species